rnacentral:tRNA from 1 species
GAGGGUAUAGUUCAAGUGGUAGAGUGCCUGCUUAGCAUGCACAAGGUCCUGGGUUCAAUCCCCAGUAUCUCCU